UACGAAGGGGGCUAGCGUUGCUCGGAAUCACUGGGCGUAAAGGCGUCGUGAGGCGGGUCGUUAAGUACCUUGUGAAAUCCCACGGCUUAACCGUGGAACUGCUCGGUAUACUGGCGAUCUUGAGCCACUUAGGGGUCAGCGGAACAAAUGGUGGAGCGGUGAAAUGCGUAGAUAUCAUUUGGAACGCCAAUGGUGAAAACAGCUGACUGGGAGUGUGCUGACGCUGAGACACGAAAGCCAGGGGAGCGAACGGG
rnacentral:rRNA from 1 species